CCCGACUGCUAUUUGGGUGAGAAUAAGCCAUGCAAGUUGAAUGGAAUGCCAAAAUAUUCCAUGGCAAACUGCUCAAUAACACGUGAUCAACUUACCCUAUGGAAAACAAUAACCUCUGGAAACGGAGGAUAAUGGUUUAUAGUUGAAAAGGCUUGGAAAAGUUUUUCAAUAAAAGGGAAUAAUAAAAAUGGUUAUUAUUUUGCCAUAGGAUAGGAUUGCGGUCGAUUAUGGCUGUUGGUGAGGUAAUGGCUCACCAAACCAAUAAUCGAUAGGGGCCGUGAGAGCGGGGGCCCCGAGAUGGGUACUGAGACAACGACCCAGGCCUUACGAGGCGCAGCAGGCGCGAAAACUCCGCAAUACACGAAAGUGUGACGGGGUUACCCAAAGUGCUUAAUAUUUAAGCUGUGGUAAGUGUGUAAUGUACCUUACUAGAAAGGAGAGGGCAAGGCUGGUGCCAGCCGCCGCGGUAAAACCAGCUCUUCAAGUGGUCGGGAUAUUUAUUGGGCUUAAAGUGUCCGUAGCUUGUAUAAUAAGUUCCUGGUAAAAUCUAAUAGCUUAACUAUUAGUAUGCUAGGAAUACUGUUAUACUAGAGGGCGGGAGAGGUUUGAGGUACUUCAGGGGUAGGGGUGAAAUCCUAUAAUCCUUGAAGGACCACCAGUGGCGAAGGCGUCAGACUGGAACGCGCCUGACAGUGAGGGACGAAAGCCAGGGGAGCGAACCGGAUUAGAUACCCGGGUAGUCCUGGCCGUAAACGAUGCACACUAGGUGUUGGUAUGGCUAUGAGCCAUAUCAGUGCCGAAGGGAAACCAUUAAGUGUGCCGCCUGGGAAGUACGGUCGCAAGGCUAAAACUUAAAGGAAUUGGCGGGGGAGCACCACAAGGGGUGAAGCCUGCGGUUCAAUUGGACUCAACGCCGGGAAACUUACCAGGGGAGACAGCAGAAUGAAAGUCAGGUUGACGACCUUACUUAACGAGCUGAGAGGAGGUGCAUGGCCGUCGCCAGUUCGUGCCGUGAGGUAUCCUGUUAAGUCAGGCAACGAACGAGACCCGUGCUUUUAGUUGCCAGCAAGAAGUCACGACUUCGUUGGGAACACUAAAAGGACCGCCAUCGAUAAGAUGGAGGAAGGAGCGGGCCAAGGCAGGUCAGUAUGCCCCGAAACCCCUGGGCCACACGCGGGCUGCAAUGGUAUGAACAAUGGGCUGUAACUCCGAAAGGAGAAACCAAUCCCGAAAUCAUAUCUCAGUUGGGAUUGUUGGCUGUAACUCGCUGACAUGAGCGUGGAAUCCCUAGUAAUCGCGUGUCAUCAUCGCACGGUGAAUACGUCUCUGCUCCUUGCACACACCGCCCGUCGCUCCAUCCGAGUGUGUCAAAAAUGAGGUUUAGUCCUUUGGGUUAUAUCGAAUUUUUGGUACGCGAGGAGGGAG
rnacentral:rRNA from 1 species